AUAUUCUGCCCACAGGGAAGGAUGAGAAGCUUCGACUAAGGUUCGACUCGAGCGAAGCGAGAGAACGUUGCCGCAGGCAACGGCCGAAGAGCGAGGCGCUUUAGCGCCGAGUAAUCCUUCCCCACCACUG
rnacentral:sRNA from 1 species